GGGGGGGGGGGGGGGGUUGCUAACUCAACGGUAGAGUACUCGGCUUUUAACCGACUAGUUCCGGGUUCGAGUCCCGGGCAACCCA
rnacentral:tRNA from 1 species